rnacentral:rRNA from 1 species
UCGCGAAAACUUUGCAAUAAAGCGAAAGCUUGACAGGGCUAUCCCGAGUGCCAUCCGCUGAGGAAGGCUUUUACUCAGUCUAGAACGCUGGGGGAAUAAGGAGAGGGCAAGUCUGGUGUCAGCCGCCGCGGUAAUACCAGCUCUCCGAGUGGUGUGGAUGUUUAUUGGGCCUAAAGCAUCCGUAGCUGGCUGAGUUAGUCCUCUGUUAAAUCCACCGAAUUAAUCGUUGGAUUGCGGGGGAUACUGCUCGGCUAGGGGACGAGAGAGGCAGACGGUAUUCCCGGGGUAGGGGUGAAAUCCUAUAAUCCCGGGAGGACCACCAGUGGCGAAGGCUGUCUGCUAGAACGCGCCCGACGGUGAGGGAUGAAAGCUGGGGGAGCGAACCGGAUUAGAUACCCGGGUAGUCCCAGCUGUAAACGAUGCAGGCUAGGUGUUUGGGCGGCCACGUGCCGCUCUAGUGCCGCAGGGAAGCUGUUAAGCCUGCCGCCUGGGGGAGUACGGUCGCAAGGCUGAAACUUAAGGAAGUU